GAUCCUGCUCAGGAUGAACGCUAGCUACAGGCUUAACACAUGCAAGUCGAGGGGCAGCGGGAAGUCAGCUUGCUGACUUUGCCGGCGACCGGCGCACGGGUGAGUAACACGUAUCCAACCUCCCGCAUACUCGGGAAUAGCCUUUCGAAAGAAAGAUUAAUGCCCGAUGGUUUCAAGGGAUUGCAUGGUAUCUUGAAUAAAGAUUCAUCGGUAUGCGAUGGGGAUGCGUUCCA
rnacentral:rRNA from 1 species